UCACUCUGUUCGCCUACUCGGUUUCCUGCGUUCUAUCGCCGCGUUGGUUUUCUAGGGUUUUUUUCGCAAGACGCAUUCUCCGAGCCUCUGAAUUUCACAAUCGAUCGCUCUCUCUGCUCUCAGCCUCUCGUAGACAGAGCUUUCUUUCGCUUCCGCCAUGUCGUCUUCAAAGAGCAGAAAGAGGAAGUCACGAGCUGUUGAGACUCUUGCACAGUUGACACCAAACGAUCUGGUAAAUUCAAGCCAUUGGGUCUAAGAAAGGAUGCAUGAAAGGCCAGGGAGGGUCUCAGAACGCACAAUGCAUAGAGGAGUAAGACAAAGGACCUGGGGCAAAUGGUUUGUACAAAUCCGAGUGCCAAACGGGGGAAGAGGCUCUGGUUGGGUACUUUUACAAACUCUGUGGAAGGUGCCCGUGCUUAUGAUGAAGCUGCGAGUAGGAUUCUGUAUGGCUCUCGUGCUCGCCUCAACUUUCCAGCAGGGUUGGAUUCAACGACUACAUCAAACUACUCUAAAAUACCCUCGAGUAAUUGCUACAUCGACAUCACGUGUUUCUCCUAAUGUGAUGAUUGAGGAAGGGGAAAGUGAAUUGAGAGCUGAAUCUCAACAUUCUGUAGUUGCUGAAACUAACACGCUCUCUAUACUGGAGGAUUUGACAUGUCCAAGCAUUGCUACAUCCACAUAUGUUUCGCCUAAUUUGAUGAUUGGAUUUUGCAACUGUGUAAGAUCUGAUGAUGGCUUCCCACAUUGGUCGACAUCAAGACACCCCAAUUGAAUCAUCGUUGAAAAGCUCUAGAAUGCUAUCCAAAUCAAACAUUUCACCCUCAUCCAUCAAAGGACAUGUCAGAUCCUCCUGUAUCGUGGGCGUGUUAGUUUCAGCAACUAGAGAAUGCUAAGAUUUAGCUCUCAAUUCACCUUCCCCUUCCUCAAUCAUCACAUUAGGAGAAACACCCUAAAACGUGAUGUCGAUGUAGCAAUGCUUUCUCCAUCCUCAUUCCUCAAGGGUAUUUUAUAGUAGUUUGAUGUAGUCGUUGAAUCCAACCCUGCUGGAAAGUUGAGGCGAGCACGUGAGCCAUACAGAAUCCUCGCAGCUCGCAGCUUCAUCAUAAGCACGGGCACCUUCCACAGAGUUUGUAAAAGUACCCAACCAGAGCCUCUCGGAUUUUCAACGAUGAUUUCUUUAAAGACAUGGGAUCAUUUUUCGACGAUAUUGGUCAAUUGGGGUGUCUUGAUGUCGACCAAUGUGGGAAGCCAUCAUUAGAUCUUACAUAGUUGCAAAAUCCAAAUGACAAGUUGCUAGGGGUUUGAAUCAUAUGGGUAGGCACCUUCCGGAGUUGGUUAAUGGAGUAUAAGAAGGAUGAAUUCAUGAUUAUUAUAUUUCAGAUUUGACUCGUGUGAGGGUAUGGCAAUUUUGUUAGAUAUGUUGAUUUGUAUUCUUUUUAGUUGAUUCUUUAUAGCUUAUAUAUAUAAGCGAUUCUCCAUGCUGAUUGGGGAAUUUAACUUCUUUUUUCCUCUGUAAGUGAUCUUUAUAGGUUUCAGAUUGGGGCUUUGGGGGUAUAUAAAUGUAAAUGAACGAUCUUUAUGGGUCGGGAUAAUAAACAAAGUUUUAGUUGUGUAUUUUUCUUAUUGCUUGUCUUGCAUAAUACACACUAUGUUCAACUC